rnacentral:rRNA from 1 species
UACAGGGGGUGCAAGCGUUGUUCGGAAUUACUGGGCGUAAAGCGCGGGCAGGUGGCCCUUUAAGUCCUUUGUGAAAUCCCGGAGCUCAACUCCGGAUGUGCAUAGGAUACUGGAGGGCUUGAGACUGGUAGAGGCGAGCGGAAUUCCUGGUGUAGCGGUGGAAUGCGUAGAUAUCAGGAAGACCACCAGUGGCGAAGGCGGCUUGCCAGAACGCGCUCGACGGUGAGGGAUGAAAGCUGGGGGAGCAAACCGG